rnacentral:rRNA from 1 species
UACAGAGGAUGCAAGCGUUAUCCGGAAUGAUUGGGCGUAAAGCGUCUGUAGGUGGCUUUUUAAGUCCGCCGUCAAAUCCCAGGGCUCAACUCUGGACAGGCGGUGGAAACUACCAAGCUGGAGUACGGUAGGGCAGAGGGAAUUCCGGUGGAGCGGUGAAAUGCUGUGAGAGAGUCGGAAAAGAACACCAACGGCGAAAGCACUCUGCUGGGCCGACACUGACACUGAGAGACGAAAGCUAGGGGAGCGAAUGGGAUUAGAAACCCCUG